AUUCACGCUGGCGGCGUGCCUCAUACAUGCCAGUCGCGCGAACAGACGAGGAGCUUGCUCCUCUGACGUUAGCGGCGGACGGGUUAGUAACACGUGGAUAACCUACCUAUAAGACUGGGAUAACUUCGGGAAACCGGAGCUAAUACCGGAUAAUAUAUUGAACCGCAUGGUUCCAUAGUGAAAGACGGUUUUGCUGUCACUUAUAUAUGGAUCCGCGCCGCAUUAGCUAGUUGGUAAGGUAACGGCUUACCAAGGCAACGAUGCGUAGCCGACCUGAGAGGGUGAUCGGCCACACUGGAACUGAGACACGGUCCAGACUCCUACGGGAGGCAGCAGUAGGGAAUCUUCCGCAAUGGGCGAAAGCCUGACGGAGCAACGCCGCGUGAGUGAUGAAGGUCUUCGGAUCGUAAAACUCUGUUAUUAGGGAAGAACAAAUGUGUAAGUAACUAUGCACGUCUUGACGGUACCUAAUCAGAAAGCCACGGCUAACUACGUG
rnacentral:rRNA from 1 species